rnacentral:rRNA from 1 species
UAUGGCUCAGAUUGAACGCUAGCGGGAUGCCUUACACAUGCAAGUCGAACGGCAGCACGGACUUCGGUCUGGUGGCGAGUGGCGAACGGGUGAGUAAUGUAUCGGAACGUGCCUAGUAGCGGGGGAUAACUACGCGAAAGCGUAGCUAAUACCGCAUACGCCCUACGGGGGAAAGCAGGGGAUCGCAAGACCUUGCACUAUUAGAGCGGCCGAUAUCGGAUUAGCUAGUUGGUGGGGUAACGGCUCACCAAGGCGACGAUCCGUAGCUGGUUUGAGAGGACGACCAGCCACACUGGGACUGAGACACGGCCCAGACUCCUACGGGAGGCAGCAGUGGGGAAUUUUGGACAAUGGGGGAAACCCUGAUCCAGCCAUCCCGCGUGUGCGAUGAAGGCCUUCGGGUUGUAAAGCACUUUUGGCAGGAAAGAAACGUCAUGGGUUAAUACCCCGUGAAACUGACGGUACCUGCAGAAUAAGCACCGGCUAACUACGUGCCAGCAGCCGCGGUAAUACGUAGGGUGCAAGCGUUAAUCGGAAUUACUGGGCGUAAAGCGUGCGCAGGCGGUUCGGAAAGAAAGAUGUGAAAUCCCAGAGCUUAACUUUGGAACUGCAUUUUUAACUACCGAGCUAGAGUGUGUCAGAGGGAGGUGGAAUUCCGCGUGUAGCAGUGAAAUGCGUAGAUAUGCGGAGGAACCACCGAUGGCGAAGGCAGCCUCC